AUGUCUUUUCUGUUUGUAUGUAUUUAUUACAUGAAGCUGGAACAUGAGUCCUACAGGGAGCUGGAAUAUUAUAUCCCUUUCCUGGGGAAUCGCCGUGUCUGUCCACAUGAUCCAGGAAGUUCUAGCAGCCUGCACCCAGGGCGCACUGCUGGCCUGCUUGUACCUGCUGCCCAAGGGCUGAGCCCAGAGUGGUUAGUGUCCAGAUGGGAGCGUCGUGGACCGCAGAGACCGUCACACAUGCACAGAGUGAAUCCUGCUGUGACAUGAACACUGGCCUCUGAGCCGGUGGGACUUGAUUCAAGUGUCAUCUCUGCCUCCCACUUUCUUGAGGCCUCAGGUAAGUCCUUGCGCCUUCCAGAGCAUCAGGCACUUCAUCUGCAUGGUGAGGAGUUAGGUGAUCCUGCUCUGUGUUAGUUUGCUAGGGCUGCUGUAACGAAGUGCCACAGACCAGGUGGCUUCAAAUGACUGAUAUCUGCUCACAGUUCUGGGGGCUGGAAGCCUAAAAUCAAGGUGUCAGCAGGGCCAUGAUCCUCUGAUACUCUGUGUAAACUCUUUCCUUGAGUCUUUUUAGCUCCCGGUCCUUGGUGUCCCUGGCUUGUGGCUGCAUGACUCUGAUCUCUGCCUCUGUCCUCAAAGUGGCCUUCUCCUCUGUGUGUAUCUCUGUGUCUCUUCUUAUAAGGACACCAGCCACCCUACUCCAGUAUGCCUUCAUCUUAACUAACUAUAUCUACAGUAACCCUGCUUCUGAACAACAUCACAUUUUCAAUUACUGGGGUUAGGACUUCACCAUAUCUUUUUGGUGGGCUACGUUUCAACCCCAUAAUACAUUCCUAGUCUUUGUAGAAUUUCCUCUGAAUUUGUAGAAAGUGAGGAGGAAAAAAAUCUCCAUGGAGGAGAAAGCUGGGGAAUGUUAAUUAUAUUUUUACUUGUUAGAAAACAGUUUUCUGAUGGCUAGAAAUACACAUUCUCUCUGUUAAUUAUGGUCUCCUUGUGGCAGGUAAGCAUUGCAGGUAAAAGGGCCUUUUAUUGAGAGAACAAACAGAAAGGCAAGUGCUAGACCCUGCUACCCCUGGGAAGAAAAUGUUUGUGCUUAAUUGGAAAAGGCAAACUUUUUCUGCCCUCUGUUCUGUCUGUCACAUUCUGUCUAGCAUGGGGGCAGGGCUGGGGGCAGGGUUGGGGGGACUUGUCUUUCUCCUCGCCCCUGUUAAACUGGACCACUAGACAUCAUUCGCCUUCUCCUGUAGAGGCAGCCAUUCGCCUUUGCUGUCCUGCUUCAGGGAAAAACCACCUUUGACUGUGGGAGGCUCUGGUGUCCUCACGGCCCGUAUAGCACCCUACUGGUCCACUCCAUUGACAAGGUCAUGUAAUUGACCGUGGAGAUUGAUAAGAGGCCCAUAUCCUAGGGCUCUUGUUGAGCCUCAAAAAUUCAUGGGCCAGUUGUGCUCCUUAGUAUUGUACCCAAUGACUUGAAAAGUUAUGUCCACAUAAAAAUUGUACACAAAUGGUUAUGGCAGUUUUAUUCUUUUUUUUUUUUUUUUUAAUUUUUUUUUCAACGUUUAUUUGUUUUUUUGGGACAGAGAGAGACAGAGCAUGAACGGGGGAGGGGCAGAGAGAGAGGGAGACACAGAAUUGGAAACAGGCUCCAGGCUCUGAGACAUCAGCCCAGAGCCCGACGCGGGGCUCGAACUCACGGACCGCGAGAUCGUGACCUGGUUGAAGUCAGACGCUUAACCGACUGCGCCACCCAGGCGCCCCUGGCAGUUUUAUUCUUAAUUGCCAAAACUCAGAAGCAACCAAAAUGCUCUUUAGUGGCUGAGUAGAUAGACAACCUGUGGUGCAUAUAUCUGCUCAAUGAAACGUUAUUCAGCAAUUAAUUCAGUGAUUAAAAAAAAGAGUUAUCAAGCCAUAAAAAGACAUGAAGAAACCUAAGGCAUGUUGUUAAGUUAAAGGAGUCAGUCUGGAAAAGCUACAUAUUGUGCGAUUCCAGCUACACGACAGUCUGGAAAGGACAAAACUAUGGAGACAGGAAAAGAUCAGUGAUUGCCAGGGAUUGGGAGGAGUGGAGUCAAGGGGGCAUUUUUAGGGCAGUGAAACUAUUUUGUAUAACACUGUAGUGGUGGGUAUGUGACAUCAUGUGUUUGUCAAAACGCAUAGAAUCUUCAACACAAAGAGUGAACCCUAAUUAAACUAUGGAGUUUAGUCAUUAAUAAUGCAUCAGUAUUGGUUUGUCAAUUUUAAUAAAUAUGCUACUCCGUGCA
ensembl:lncRNA